ACACCGAUGGUGAAGCGGUUAUCAUGCUUGCCUUCCAUCUACAGCUGGAUUGUCUCAAGCAAGCGGCAGGGGUUCGACUCCCCUUCGGUGUA